rnacentral:tRNA from 1 species
GCCGUGGCCUACUGGUUAGCGCUUCGGACUUGUAACCGGAGGAUUGCCGGUUCGAACCCCGACCAGUAGGCA